CUUCGUUUCCAAAUCGUCUCAAAAUAUGUGUGAUAUUGCAAGACAGGGCAGCGGAGUUCACAGGGACUGGGUUCGUGCCUGGGAAGGAUUUCCUUGGCCGCAGCUGCACCACAAAAAGCCAAAGCCGAACAUCUCCCCAAGCACCCGACACUUCUGCUGCCAAGCUCCAGUUGCUAUGGGAAGGAGAGAAUUCUGCUCGUGCUCCAAAACAAAACAAGUCACCUUCAGCUUGGAAGAUUUUACAAAACACACGGCUUCCUCUGGCAGGGCCCUGGGAGCACCCAGCAGCACAGCACAAAGUCCCCUGCAGCCCCCCUGUCCCUGGAAGGCUCUGGAAUGAUCCUUCCCCUUUGUUCUUCUACGGGUGGAACUCCUCACCCACCACCAAGCACAGACUCUGCUGAUGAUCUGCCAAAGAAAGCCAAGGUCUGGAAAGGUUCCCCGCUGACCCCAGCCUUCAGGAUUCAAGAAUCCACGCAGCUUCAGCUGAAGGGCAGGGCAGAGGAAAAAGCACUUGAAUGUCACUGAGGAGAGGGACAGGAAAUGACGAGUUCAGAGCUUCAGGGAUUUCAGUUUUAAGAUCUGUGUCUAUAUUGGAUGUAUGAUGUAACACACACACACACACAUAUAUAUAUAUAUAUAUAUAUAUUGCAAAAUCUUCUAUUUGAUGCCUCAGCACUCAGGGCUUUGCUCAUCCAACGCUGCUUUCGGCACAAGAGCAUUUUUUUGCCAGAAAAAUGUGGUUUGUGUUUUAAUUUUCCACGGAGUGCAGAUGUGAAGCUGCAAAAGGAAUAAACCCAAAGUGGCCAGAGCGGCUCCCCCUGCCCACUUCCCAGUGCCCUCCCCUCCCACUCCCUUUCUCCAAAAAGAUUUGAUUUCUGUCUGCUCCGUUUUGUUCUUAUGAGAACAAAAGAAUUAAAAAUGACUCCAAGAAUCAGCCCAUUAUCUCAGGCAAUAAUUUGAUUAAAGUUGCCAUCACCAGGCCAGGCACCCCAAGGAUCUGCAGUGCACACAGGAAUUUUGGGUCAUUCCUGCUGCAGCAAGGAACAUUUAUUUUUUUCCCUUUUCCACAUGAAUGCCUGAAACCCCCUUGGGGAAUGUUCGACCCUGUCAAAACAAAGGCACGGAGAUUUUUAAGAAACAGUUGUGUGAACAAGUAGGACAAAAUCCAUGAAGAGUGAGCAGGAGAGAGGGAAAUUCUGUUUGAGCUCCAGAAUGGAGCCAGAAAAGCCCUGGAUUCAGGAAUCCGUGUGGACACGGAUGCACACCCCUAUUUACCUGUGUGCCAGAAUUCCCACUCUGCCUCCUGCCCUUCCCACUGCUCUCACUUCUCUGGGAUUUCCUGGACGUGCUGAUUCCCCCCCUCCAGAACAGCAGGAAUGAAUAAACACCCCCCAAAACGACCCAAAACGACCCAGAACAACCCAAACCAGCAGCACAGCAUCACCAGGACACUGUAAAGUGAUUUUUUGGGCUG